UACGUAGGUUGCAAGCGUUGUCCAGAAUUAUUGGGCGUAAAGAGCUCGUAGGCGGCCAGUUGCGUCUGCUGUGAAAUCCCGGGGCUCAACCCCGGGCUUGCAGUGGAUACGGGCUGGCUGGAGGCAGGCAGGGGAGAACGGAAUUCCCGGUGUAGCGGUGAAAUGCGCAGAUAUCGGGAGGAACACCGGUGGCGAAGGCGGUUCUCUGGGCCUGUACUGACGCUGAGGAGCGAAAGCGUGGGGAGCGAACAGG
rnacentral:rRNA from 1 species